rnacentral:rRNA from 1 species
AUUGAACGCUGGCGGCAGGCCUAACACAUGCAAGUCGAACGGCAGCACAGAAGAGCUUGCUCUUUGGGUGGCGAGUGGCGGACGGGUGAGUAAUGUCUGGGAAACUGCCCGAUGGAGGGGGAUAACUACUGGAAACGGUAGCUAAUACCGCAUAACGUCGCAAGACCAAAGUGGGGGACCUUCGGGCCUCACACCAUCGGAUGUGCCCAGAUGGGAUUAGCUAGUAGGUGGGGUAAUGGCUCACCUAGGCGAAGAUCCCUAGCUGGUCUGAGAGGAUGACCAGCCACACUGGAACUUAGACACGGUCCAGACCCCUACGGGAGGCAGCAGUGGGGAAUAUUGCACAAUGGGCGCAAGCCUGAUGCAGCCAUGCCGCGUGUAUGAAGAAGGCCUUCGGGUUGUAAAGUACUUUCAGCGGGGAGGAAGGCGGUGAGGUUAAUAACCUCGCCGAUUGACGUUACCCGCAGAAGAAGCACCGGCUAACUCCGUGCCAGCCGCCGCCGUAA